GACGAACGCUGGCGGCGUGCUUAACACAUGCAAGUCGAACGGAAAGGCCCUGCUUUUGUGGGGUGCUCGAGUGGCGAACGGGUGAGUAACACGUGAGUAACCUGCCCUUGACUUUGGGAUAACUUCAGGAAACUGGGGCUAAUACCGGAUAGGAGCUCCUGCUGCAUGGUGGGGGUUGGAAAGUUUCGGCGGUUGGGGAUGGACUCGCGGCUUAUCAGCUUGUUUGUGGGGUAGUGGCUUACCAAGGCUUUGACGGGUAGCCGGCCUGGGAGGGUGACCGGGGACAAGGGGACUGAGAUACGGACCAGAAUGGUACGGGAGGCAGCAGGGGGGAAUAUUGCACAAUGGGCGGAAGCCUGAUGCAGCAACGCCGCGUGCGGGAUGACGGGCUUCGGGUUGAAAACCGCUGUGGCCUGUGACGAAGCGUGAGUGACGGUAAUGGGUAAAGAAGCACCGGCUAACUACGUG
rnacentral:rRNA from 1 species